UGGUGUACCAGUUGUCCUGCCAAGGGCAUGGCUGGGUAGCUAUGUACGGAAUGGAUAAGCGCUGAAAGCAUCUAAGCGCGAAGCCAACUUCAAGAUAAGAUUGCCCACCGCAAGGGUAAGACCCCAGAAAGACUAUCUGGUUGAUAGGUCGAAGGUGUAAGUGCAGCAAUGUAUUUAGCUUAUCGAUACUAAUAGGUCGAGGACU
rnacentral:rRNA from 1 species